GAUGAACGCUGGCGGCGUGCCUAAUACAUGCAAGUCGAGCGAACAGACGAGGAGCUUGCUCCUCUGACGUUAGCGGCGGACGGGUGAGUAACACGUGGAUAACCUACCUAUAAGACUGGGAUAACUUCGGGAAACCGGAGCUAAUACCGGAUAAUAUAUUGAACUGCAUGGUUCAAUAGUGAAAGACGGUUUUGCUGUCACUUAUAGAUGGAUCCGCGCCGCAUUAGCUAGUUGGUAAGGUAACGGCUUACCAAGGCAACGAUGCGUAGCCGACCUGAGAGGGUGAUCGGCCACACUGGAACUGAGACACGGUCCAGACUCCUACGGGAGGCAGCAGUAGGGAAUCUUCCGCAAUGGGCGAAAGCCUGACGGAGCAACGCCGCGUGAGUGAUGAAGGUCUUCGGAUCGUAAAACUCUGUUAUUAGGGAAGAACAAAUGUGUAAGUAACUAUGCACGUCUUGACGGUACCUAAUCAGAAAGCCACGGCUAACUACAUG
rnacentral:rRNA from 1 species